GAUGGACUGUCUUUUUUCUUUUCUUAUUUGACCUGUUCUUGCCAUAAUAAGGACUUGGUCUUUUACCAAAUGGGGCUAUGUUCUGUAUACCACCCCUACCUUGUCACGACACAGCUGAUUGGCUAAAACACAUUGCAAAGGAAAGAAAUUCCACAAAUGAACUUUAACAAGGCACACCUGUUAACCCGAAAUGCAUUCCAGGUGACUACCUCAUGAAGCUGGUUGUGAGAAUGCCAAGAAUGUGCAAAGCUGUCAUCAAGGCAAAGGAUGGCUGCUUUGAAGAAAAUAUAUUUGGAUUUGUUUAACUUCUUUGGUUACUACAUGAUUACAUGUAUGAUAUUUCAUAGUUUUGAUAUCUUCACUAUUAUUCUUCAGUGUAGAAAAUAGUAAAAAUAAAGAAAAACCCUGGAAUGAGAAGGUGUGUCCAAACUUUUGACUGGUACUGUAUAUGUACCCAAUGUUAGAGUAUUUGGCUGUGGCUGAUGCUGUCUUUGUUCCUGUGGACUCAUCAUAGAUACAGAUUUUUAAAGCUGCAGUUUUCCCAAUGAUUAUUUAAGAUGCCCUUCAAUUUGCCUGUAGAGAAUGAAAUGGUCUUCGGAAAGCCAACCCUGAAACACCAUCAUGGACUUUGGCUGCAAGCUUAGCAUUUGUAAAGCCAUUAGCGAUUUUGUCUAUUCUUUCCUAGAUACAUUUCCAUUGUGCUCAGUCCAAAGGGACUCACCCCUGUGGUAGGGGGAUACCUGGGAAUCAGACCUUGCCCAGCCUGCUCUGGGCCCCGUGUCACAGACAGACAGAGCCACUCUUUAUCCAUACAGCAAAGCUCAGCAAUUGGGUCUAUGCCAGCCCUUUGAAUUGAAUACCAGCGCAAAGGCAUUCAGUCAGCACAAAACUCCCCAGUUCACAAGGCAGGCAGCAGUCAGUCCUCGUUCUCUGCCCCUCUCCCGUUCUCUCUCUGUCUACUCUCCCCUGCUCUGAUCUCAAACAGCGGGCCCCCCACUCCCCCUUCCCUCUCUCCCUCUGAGUCAGGGGUCCCGUAGAGACAGCAAUUUGAGCCAAAUUGAGAUUAAGACGUGGAUACAAUCGAUCCGCCAUACAAAUAAUCUGUAACCUUCACAGGAAAUGUCACCUUUUACUGUUCGCUUUUACUUUUUUUUUUAACCCAUUUUGUAGUUGAGGAUGUUUUAACUCAAUAUAUGGGGGUGUUAUUGUGUUUCAACUAAGUUUUUAAGGCAGUUUGUGUGGCGGGUUUAUUGGAUUCAAGAAUGAGAUGUCAUUUAAAAAAAUAUUGAAGUAGACUGGUUAAUAUUCUGCAUACCUUUUGGACAAACUGAAAUUGUGAACGCGCCUUUUGCAUAGAUGGUGGAUAAUUCCAAAGAGUUCAGCACUGUUGAUGGUGUCAGAGAGAUCAGAGAUCCCUAGGGAAACGUUGUAUAUGUUCUAACUGUAAUACGUGUACAUUUUAUUUAUAUUGUUGUUGUUGUUGUUGUUGUUUUUUUACACACAUUACUCUGUAGUGAGCUCUGAAUACAUUGAAAAUGCACUAUAUUUUUCUAUCUCACUUGCAGAUGAUUACUGUCACCCAGAAGAUUUCAGUUGUACAUACCUUCUCAUUUAGGACCAAAGACAGCUGAUAGGUUUCCCAUUUAGAAUUGCAUUUUGUUUUUAUUUUUGCCUUUUAGUUUAAUGUACAGUAAUACGAAUUGUCAAUUUAUUAUUUAUUUUUCUGUGAUGAGAGUAUUGAGAGUAUUCAUUGGUCAAGAGUAUUUUCCCCAAACAGCAGAAGUGUAAAAUCAUUACUUAGACGAUUUCUUGUUAAAUAGACGUUUCUUUUUUUUUGUUGCUUCGUAACCUUUGUAAUAGACUGUACAUAUAUUUUUGGAAAUAUAAUACAAUCUCUAUAGAAAUCCUCUCUCAUUGGACUCUUUUCCAUCGUAAUUAGUGUCAUGUCUUUACAUAGGAUCUCGUUUCA
ensembl:lncRNA